CCUACGGGAGGCAGCAGUGAGGAAUCUUGGUCAAUGGCCGGAAGGCUGAUCCAGCCAAGCCGCGUGAAUGACGAAGGUUCCAAGCAUUUUAAACUUCUUUUGUCAAGGGACAAAAUCAGGCUCGAGAGCCUGACCGAGGGGACUUCUACAAACAGCAUCGGCUAACUCCGCGCCAGCAGCCGCGGUAAUACGGAGGAUGCGAGCGUUAUCCGGAUGUAUUGGGUUAAAGGGGUGCGUAGGCGAACUGUAAAGUCAGCGGUAAAGGCCCGGGUCCAAACCCCGGCGAGCCGUUGAAACUGGCUGUCUGGAGAUGUCGAGAGGUAUGCGGAAUGCGCAGUGUAGCGGUGAAAUGCUUAGAUAUUGCGCAGAACUCCGACUGCGAAGGCAGCAUACCGGCGGCGAUCUGACGCUGAGGCACGAAAGCGUGGGUAUCGAACAGGAUUAGAUACCCGUGUAGUC
rnacentral:rRNA from 1 species